rnacentral:misc_RNA from 1 species
CCAGAAAGGUUCAGCAAAGGAAAUCCUGGACGAGCUCCGGCCAUGAAAGAAGACUACGAGAUUGAAGAGAAAAAACAAGCUGCUGCAGAUGUAUUGUUUCAAUAUUCAAAAUUUGUGAUGGCAUGUAUCGGUAAUCAAGUUCGGCCUUGUGACUUGAGAUUGCAUUUAAUGAAGGAGAUUUCAGGACUGCCAACUUCUCUGAAGAGAGAAUUGCCCCAGACAGCAGCUUCACCUGAUGCAAUGGGUGAAUCAUCAAGCUCAGGCAUGGCCAGACUUGAUAAAGCAGACAGUUUUCGAGCACUGUAAGUUGAGUUAGUGUUAUGGAGAAUUUGACGUUCAGAGUCAUUGGCAUGCUGCUAAGACUAGUAAAUCCUCAUUUCUAUCAUUAACCUUUUGAUUUAUAAUUUCCUUGUGCUGUCAUGGGAAGAUAUUGUUAAUAUGACAUGCCAAAAAUUUGCCUAUCCUUUGAGGUGUAGAAUACUGGGAUAUCUGUACAGUUGCAUCUUAUUUUAGUUCCAUAUGGAUUGUUUCCUUUUCAUAUUAUGAUGGUUUAAUUGUAAUAUUUAGAAAUUUUUUGCUUUAAACAAGCACCUGUUCUUUUUGGUCUUCCUAGAAUUGAGAAUUGAGAAUUGAGAGGCCAGCCUAGUUGAUUAUGGACUUACUUGGCACAGUCAAAUAUUUCUGACCCCAGUUCAGGGGCUUGGCGUAGGCCAAACUUCUCUUAUCCAUUUUUUAGUAUAAGCAACAACGAUAGCAUUCUGAGAAAAUUAUUUAUUUGACAGAAAAUCCCAAUAAGAGAAACUUUGCCAAAUAAUUUUUACACUUGUUUGUGUGUGCGAAAGGGGGGUGAAUUUUCUAAAAUAAACAGUAAUAUAUUAUUAUACUAAUGAGUGCUUUUUUUGGAGGUUGGAAUCCUGAAUUUAUUGGCAUUGCAUGGCUUUUCUAUGUUAUACCUUUUUCCAAAAGUAACUUGUGUCAGCCAUGAUUUAGUUCUCUCAACUUGCCAUUUUGAUACUGAAUUAAGCUGCCUUCAGAUGUUAGCUGACUAUUUUUCAUCUUUUUUACUUGCCUGAUGUUUCCCUUGAUCCUAAAGGACCUAAACUAUUCAAAGUCAGCAGAGCAUGACAUUUGUUCUUGAAAUAACUCUGUUAAAAGUCUUCAUAUGAUCAGUGUUUAGUAAGCAAUCUUUUCAUGGAAGUCUCAUUCAGUAAGGUGAGAAACCAUUUAGAAGGAAAAAGGAGGUGGUUAGAUAUUUGUUAGAAUCAUCAUAGUCCUUUGAUCAGUAAACACUUUCUUUCUUAGAUAAAAAAAAAAAGCAUGUAAAGGAAAAUCGUGCAUGUAUGCUCAAUCCCAUGAAGAUAGUUUGCUUAGAUCAGGACAGUCUUAGUAGUUAGUGCCACCUGUGUCAGGAUCUGAGGCUACAUUUGCCUGCAAACAUGGUGAGCACAACAGCAUAUUUACUAUCAUUAUUAUUUUCUAAUUCUCAUGCAGUCUUGAUCUGAGUUAUGUCUGAUUUUUCCUUGGGACCGUGAAAUAGUUCAGGCAUGAUUAUGAACUAUAACUCUACUUGAUUUAACUCAUAAAAGUUGAGCCUUUUGUAGGGUAGCAUAUAUAAAUGUCAAACUAGCUAAUGUGUGUUUUUUUUUUUUUAAAAGAUGGUAGAUAUACAAGGACUAACGGAGGUAAAUCAAGUAAUAAAGAAUUAUGCUAUAUUGUUAUCGUUUUAUGGAAAAAA